AACGCGAAGAACCUUACCUACCCUUGACAUGUCUGGAAUUCCUAAGAGAUUGGGAAGUGCUCGCAAGAGAACCGGAACACAGGUGCUGCAUGGCUGUCGUCAGCUCGUGUCGUGAGAUGUUGGGUUAAGUCCCGCAACGAGCGCAACCCUUGUCAUUAGUUGCUACGAAAGGGCACUCUAAUGAGACUGCCGGUGACAAACCGGAGGAAGGUGGGGAUGACGUCAAGUCCUCAUGGCCCUUAUGGGUAGGGCUUCACACGUCAUACAAUGGUCGGGACAGAGGGUCGCCAACCCGCGAGGGGGAGCCAAUCCCAGAAACCCGAUCGUAGUCCGGAUUGCAGGCUGCAACUCGCCUGCAUGAAGUCGGAAUCGCU
rnacentral:rRNA from 1 species